rnacentral:rRNA from 1 species
UACGUAGGGCGCAAGCGUUGUCCGGAAUUAUUGGGCGUAAAGAGCUCGUAGGUGGUUUGUCGCGUCUGACGUGAAAGCCCAUGGCUUAACUGUGGGUCUGCGUUGGAUACGGGCAGGCUAGAGGCUGGUAGGGGCAAGCGGAAUUCCUGGUGUAGCGGUGAAAUGCGCAGAUAUCAGGAGGAACACCGGUGGCGAAGGCGGCUUGCUGGGCCAGUUCUGACGCUGAGGAGCGAAAGCGUGGGGAGCGAACAGG